UGAGCAUAAGGUAUGUUUGAAUAUAACUGAUUUUAAGUCUUUCACAUUUGACUUCACCAGCUUUACCUCAAUCACCUCUCAAUUUAAACACAUAUAAAGUGAACGGGAGCUCUGGAAUGUCAAAGGUUCACCAUGGAUCAAGAAAUAAUAAAGUUCCCUAGCUCUGAGCACAUGUACCAGACUAUCCUAAAGAGAGAAGAUCAGUAAUUCAUGAAUAGUGAUCUACGGAUUUGCAAGGCUACAUGACUACAGACCAACUCAUGAACAACAGCUUUACCACACUAAAGAGAAGACAUCAAACAGAAGGUCCUGCUAUCAACAGGUGGCGAUGAUUUUGAAAGCACUCAGAAGAGACACACAUGAGCCUCACACUGAAGUUUGUGUGAUGAGCAGGAAGGUGCACAUCAGGUAAAAGAUGCCUUUUCUCACCCUUUCUCUGGUGGAGCUGUAGACCUGAAGUGGCUCCAUGAGGGAAACAUGGAAGACAAGACCACGUGCAAGAGCCCAGAGCCACUGCUCAAGCCCCAGGGUUGAUGUGAGUCAAAAACUAGCCCAGAGCACUGACCCAGUCCUGUGUUCUGCAUGAGUGGGCCACUCUAACAGGCAUGACAGCCCAGCUCUGACUGCCUCAUCUUCUCUACUUGGGAGGAAGUGACCCACUGGCCAGGUUGUCCUUCUGGAUCUGACCUGACCCUGGACUCCUAGAACAAUUCUAGACAUAUGAGCUCCAGAGUUUUUCUAGCCAUCUGGAAAUGUCCACAGGUUGUGAAGAAAAUGGCCAGAAAACAACAUCCAAAGAGAGAAAGGCAGAAGAGAAGAGAAGAGAAGAGCAUGUGGAGGAGAACAAGAUUCUGGAUCAGCAUAGCCUGCAUGCUUAGCUCCAAUCUAUGACCUUUGGGAUUCUAUUUCCUCAUCCAUAAGUUCCUCGGUGCAGUAGCUCUUCAGUUCUGGUUCUUGGGAUGGCAGCAUCAGCAUCAGCUGGGGAAGGAGUCAGACGUGGAAAUUCUCACAUCACUACUGCAGGCCCACUGAGAACCACUGAUAUGGAGGAGAAAACCAGUUGAAACAUUUAACAUCAUAUGGGAAAAAAGAACUCUGAUAUGAUAGAUAUUUUCCUUACCUUUAAAUGUUUCUUCUCAUAGAAACCAGAUCUGAUUAGAUUAUGUUAUUAAAAAUAAAAUUAUAAACAUUUUAUGAUGUAUUUCCUGUAUUUAGAAGAAUGAU